rnacentral:rRNA from 1 species
UACGUAGGGUGCAAGCGUGUCCGGAAUUAUUGGGCGUAAAGAGCUCGUAGGCGGUCUGUCGCGUCUGCUGUGAAAACCUAGGGCUUAACUCUGGGCGUGCAGUGGGUACGGGCAGGCUAGAGUGCGGUAGGGGAGACUGGAAUUCCUGGGUGUAGCGGUGAAAUGCGCAGAUAUCAGGAGGAACACCGGUGGCGAAGGCGGGUCUCUGGGCCGUAACUG